ensembl:lncRNA
GCUAGUGGGAGCAAAGUUUCAGUGCAUUCUGUUGAUGUAGACGGCGUGAAAACGGAAACAACAAGUAUGCCGGCUCACUGUGCUGCAUACAGUUACACACUACGUCGUACGAUUGCGACAAGGAAACUUGGAAUGACUUUUCAUAGGUUUCCCAGAGACUAUGGGUUGAAGAGGAAUUGGAAGUUUGUCGGCUUAGACCUGGUGUCAUUCCAUCAGUGUUAAACUUCCCAGCUCAUCUUGGAAGAGUACAUGCCAGAAAGACCACAACCAAGCAGCCUUGAGAUCUUAGGCAACGUCUCCCUCAGACCAAAGAACUACAGACUUCACAACCUGCUCAAACUCUUGGUA